GACGAACGCUGGCGGCGUGCCUAAUACAUGCAAGUCGAACGCAGUUGCGAACGGGUGAGUAAUGCGUAGGUAACUGCCUGGUAGCAGUGGAUAACUACUGGACACGAUAGCUAAUAACGCUUACUACCAGAUGGACCUGCGUUGUAUUAGCUAGUUGGUGGGGUAACGGCUCACCAAGGCAACGAUACAUAGCCGACCUGAGAGGGGGAUCGGCCACACUGGGACUGAGACACGGCCCAGACUCCUACGGGAGGCAGCAGUGGGGAAUAUUGCACAAUGGGCGCAAGCCUGAUGCAGCCAUGCCGCGUGUAUGAAGAAGGCCCUAGGGUUGUAAAGUACUUUCAGUCGGGAGGCGUUACCUACAGAAGAAGCACCGGCUAACUCCGUGCCAGCAGCCGCGGUAAUAC
rnacentral:rRNA from 1 species